rnacentral:rRNA from 1 species
AUAUCAAUAAGCGGAGGAAAAGAAACCAACAGGGAUUGCCCUAGUAACGGCGAGUGAAGCGGCAACAGCUCAAAUUUGAAAUCUGGCUCUCGGGCCCGAGUUGUAAUUUGUAGAGGAUACUUUUGAUGCGGUGCCUUCCGAGUUCCCUGGAACGGGACGCCAUAGAGGGUGAGAGCCCCGUCUGGUUGGAUGCCAAAUCUCUGUAAAGUUCCUUCAACGAGUCGAGUAGUUUGGGAAUGCUGCUCUAAAUGGGAGGUAUAUGUCUUCUAAAGCUAAAUACCGGCCAGAGACCGAUAGCGCACAAGUAGAGUGAUCGAAAGAUGAAAAGCACUUUGAAAAGAGAGUUAAAAAGUACGUGAAAUUGUUGAAAGGGAAGCGUUUAUGACCAGACUUGGGCUUGGUUAAUCAUCUGGGGUUCUCCCCAGUGCACUUUUCCAGUCCAGGCCAGCAUCAGUUUUCCCCGGGGGAUAAAGGCGGCGGGAAUGUGGCUCUCUUCGGGGAGUGUUAUAGCCCACCGUGUAAUACCCUGGGGGGGACUGAGGUUCGCGCAUCUGCAAGGAUGCUGGCGUAAUGGCCAUCAACG